CCUACGGGGUGCAGCAGUGGGGAAUAUUGGACAAUGGGCGAAAGCCUGAUCCAGCCAUGCCGCGUGUGUGAAGAAGGCCUUCGGGUUGUAAAGCACUUUCAGUGGGGAAGAAAGCCUUGGGGCUAAUACCCUCGAGGAAGGACAUCACCCACAGAAGAAGCACCGGCUAACUCCGUGCCAGCAGCCGCGGUAAUACGGAGGGUGCGAGCGUUAAUCGGAAUUACUGGGCGUAAAGCGCGCGUAGGCGGUCUGAUAAGCCGGUUGUGAAAGCCCCGGGCUCAACCUGGGAACGGCAUCCGGAACUGUCAGGCUAGAGUGCAGGAGAGGAAGGGAGAAUUCCCGGUGGAGCGGUGAAAUGCGUAGAGAUCGGGAGGAAUACCAGUGGCGAAGGCGGCCUUCUGGACUGACACUGACGCUGAGGUGCGAAAGCGUGGGUAGCAAACAGGAUUAGAUACCCUGGUAGUC
rnacentral:rRNA from 1 species